AUGCUUCAAGCCAUCUGUUUUCUCAUGUUCAAGAAACCUCUCCUAGGCCCUGCCUCUGUUGGAACAUUGGCCACCGCAAGCGGAGAUGAUCCCCGAGGGGACAGCAGAAGCCUCCCACACACACUUCCUGUUUCGCAUGGGGUGUACCUGCGGGCCAGAGAUGAGGUGUGGUUCUUACCUGAGCCGUCACAUCCCGCUAUGCCAGGAAGGACUCUGUGGGUGUUACACAGAAUCAUAAAACUGUAAGAGAAGUGUGAUGUCAUCGAGCCCAACCCCCUCAGUUUACAGGGAAGGAAACCCUCAUGUAAGGAAAGCAACUGGACCAAGGUCAAGAAGAUCCCUUCCCUUCUGAUUAAAUGGAAGAGCCGGAAUUCAAACUCAUUCUCAAGAUUCCAUGUCUAGCUGUCUUUCUAAUAUGCCAUGUGAGCAUUCAUUUUUCAUUUAUAUGUUCAUUCAACAAAUAUGAUAAACUACCUACUAUGUGCUAGGCUCUGAGGGAGCUCUAAAUAAGAUUUGUCCCUUUCCCUCCGGGUGCUUACACUGCAGGGUUAAGGAGACAAACAGAAUGCCAAAUGGGAUACGGUGAGAAUCCAAAAAGAAGUUAGGGAGUGCUAGGAGAUCCAACUUUCCUCCUUGGCAGCAAGAGAACUCUGUAGGGACUUUUUGUUUGUUUUGAUUGUCUUGUUUUGCAGUCAAAUUGUUCUUUAGUUUACAAUUCUGGGCACAUAGUAGAUGACUUAAUAAGUACAUAUGAAGUGUCUGCCGCAGCACAGUGCCUGCCAUGUUGCUUGGACUUGAUGAGUGUGCGCUGACUGCCUCUGAGACCUCGGACAAUCACUUCCUUCUCUGUCCCUCAGUUUCUGCUUUGUAAAGUGAAGGGAAGGUCUCAAAAUAAUAAUAACUAGCAUUUAUUAACAUUCAAGGUUGUGAAAUCAGAAAAGACAAGAUCCGGCAAAGGACUGACUACGUGGGUUGAGCGUGAGUGAGGAGACAAGGCUGACUCAUGUUCAGGACUUCGGAUGGCCAAGUGAAGAAGAAGGAAGGUUUUGGGGAAAGAAUGAGUACUGCUAGUUUCUCGGGUCAAGGGAAAAGUCUUUGGUCUGACCUCCAGUAGAAUGUCGGUCUUCUGAGGGAGGGCUUGUUUGGCAUUUGUCUUUGUAACUACAGUGCCUGGCACGACAUCAAGACCUGAUGUUCUCUGAGGUCCCUUCUAGGGUUAGAUCUAUGACCGAUGACCUACGGAUCCUCUGAGCCUCCAUUUCUUCCAUCUGUGUAGUGAGGAGAUUGGACCAGAUGGCAGGAGGGACCCCUUCCAGAUCCAGAGCCAUGAUCCUAUCAUCAGCGCUUGAGGCCAACGGGGUGAGGUUUGACCUUGGAGGGAGAGAACCUCUCACAAAACUCUCGCUUUGGGUAAGCUUCUUGCUGGGCCUCUGCCCAAGUGCAGAAGAAGGUCCUUCCCCAGAUGAAAUCUAAAAUCCUUUGAUUCUGUCCUCCAACAGUGACUGGCUUUCUCUAGCUCCCAACAGUUGAUAAAUAUGGAAGUCUCAAGAUGGUAAUAACUAGCACUUACUAAUAUUUAAGGCUUGCAAAGCACUUUACAUACAAUUCCAAAGGCUUUCCUAUCUGGUUUUUAUCCAAUCCUCUGCCGGCAAUGAUUCAAAGAAUAAAUAAAUUAAUAACAAUAAUAAUAAUGGUUAG
rnacentral:lncRNA from 1 species